rnacentral:tRNA from 1 species
GGAUUGUGGCUCAGCGGUAGAGCAUUCACCUAGCAUGUGCAAGGUCCUUCCUGGGUUCGAUCCUCAGCACCA